CCUCUCUCAGGCUUGCACCUGGAGAGUUUCCAGUCCUCUACCAGUCAUGGUUACGGGAGGGAGAGUCAAGCAGAGGCCUACCCAUUCCAUUCCUAGCUUGGGCAGUGGCUGGCGAGUGGCAGACAAUCUGCUACAAGU
rnacentral:snoRNA from 1 species